AUGUCCAACCCCUGAAGCCGGAGGAACGGGCCAGUCAGACUGCGCCCGACAGCUAUGUGCUCAUACAAACUUUAGAGCAAACUUUCUCUUACUCUCCCCACCCUCCCCCUUCCUUUUUCUAAAUGGAAAAUAAUGUCCGGAGGGGUUGCUAGAUAGAAGACUACACUUACAAAGUGUUUAUGAUUCCAGGCGCAUGAAAUCUUUAACAUGUAUAUUGAAAAGUCUGAUUCAGUUACAAUCAGUGUAUGGAAUCACAAGAAGAUCCAUAAGAAACAAGGUGCUGGAUUUCUCCGUUGUGUUCGUCUUUUUCCAGUGCCAUCAACCACCUCAAAGACACUGGUUAUCAGAGGUUGGAUUUAUGCAAACUUGGGCCAAAGGACAGUUAGAAGACAGUAGUAAGUCUUCAGUCCAGGGACCAAAUCGGCACAGGAGGACAAGUUGUGGACUGCAGUCAUUUAUUUGAUAAUGAUUUACCAGACAA
rnacentral:lncRNA from 1 species